rnacentral:rRNA from 2 species
UAAAACCAGCACCUCAAGUGGUCAGGAUGAUUAUUGGGCCUAAAGCAUCCGUAGCCUGCUCUGUAAGUUUUCGGUUAAAUCUGUACGCUCAACGUACAGGCCGCCGGGAAUACUGCAGAACUAGGGAGUGGGAGAGGUAGACGGUACUCGGGAGGAAGUGGUAAAAUGCUUUGAUCUCUCGAUGACCACCUGUGGCGAAGGCGGUCUACCAGAACACGUCCGACGGUGAGGGAUGAAAGCUGGGGGAGCAAACCGGAUUAGAUACCCGGGUAGUCCCAGCUGUAAACUAUGCAAACUCAGUGAUGCAUUGGCUUGUGGCCAAUGCAGUGUUGCAGGGAAGCCGUUAAGUUUGCCGCCUGGGAAGUACGUACGCAAGUAUG